AUAUAAAUUGUGCUUUUUGUACCU
rnacentral:siRNA from 1 species